AGAACGCGCCUUUCAGGCAUCCUCUCCUAAAACUUUUCAAGGCCGGUCCCUAGGGAUCGGCCCUUUUUUUGCGCUCA
rnacentral:sRNA from 1 species